ensembl:lncRNA
UGCUGAUCAAGAAUGGGCUGUACUUACUACUGCUUCUUGAAAAAAAGGGUGUAGAAGCUGCGGAUAUGCAGUUCAGUCUGCGAGCCACCAGGCACCAAAGAUAUGCUGCCCAGUUAAAUCAGAUUUCUUUACAGUUGUGAUCCAAGCCAUGAAGUGGAAACUCAAAAUGUGAGUUGGAAUUUGACAUAGGUUUUCCAUUGUUUGGAACAGUCAGUCAGAAGAGUGAACACUCACUUGUGAGGGAAAGGGAAACAGAGUGUUCCUACAGCAGAUAAAGCAGAGAGGCAUAAAAAUUCCUCAGCCUGGCCUGCAGCUCAACUAAAGAAAAUAGAUGCAGUGCUAGAUACUUGGAAAUUUUCAAGGUACACAGGAUUAAAGGGAACACCUGAGUUCCACAUCUGUUUCUUUUCAAAUGGAAAAUGAAGUGGAGAAAGGUACCUUUUCCUCUGGACUUGCUGACUGCACAGCCUGGCUGAAUGCCCAUCAUACUGCCUUAUCUUGCUCUUGUGUCGGAGUUCAGGCGCUAACAGGUGGUACCAGAUCGAUGCUGAGCAGUACUUCUGGGGAGGUGACACUCCGCCCUAGUACUUUGCUUACUGAUUUUCAGUUUCUCACAUGAAGCAGAAGCUAAUCAUGAUGUCUCAUCAUCAAAGUUAUUUCUCACUGGACUACUCAGAGGUGUUGUUGUCAAACCUUCCCAGCUACAUUGGUUAAUCCAUUCCAAGUGCCAGUAGUUAUCCUGAGCUCCAUGCUGACUGCUAUGACAUGAAACUUCAGAAUCUGUGCACCUCUGAUGUCAUCAGGAGCCAUUGAUGUCAGAGCGGCUUCUGCGCAGCGUGAAGGUCCGUGUCAACUCAUCACAUUACCUCUGCAUGAAAGAAUGAAAUAUGUAAUAAAAGGAAACCACAAAUAGCCAAGCCAUGUUUCAAAACUGAAGAGACUCUACUUGUUCCUUUAAACUAGAAGAAAAAUGUAACUUCCUAACACUGAUUGAUUUUGGGGAUCCAUCUGCAGCAGAACCAGAAUGCUUCUCUACUUCCCCACACCACUCAUCAGCUCUGCUUAUGUUGGCUAAACGUGUGAGAGAAAAUUGAAGACGUAACAAAGUUCCUACAUGCCAGUUUCCAGUGGAAGUAUGACUGUAAGCACGUGUACUUCUACCCAAACAUCAGGAUGUGCAAACUGCAGGAAGAUGCUAGGCUGGGUGUGAGUCUUUUAUUUCCUCUCACAUAAAUGUUUAGACCAAGUCCUAGUUCAGCUUUAGAAAGUGCUAAAUGUAGUAAUUGUUUUUUUAUAUACUCUUUAUGGUAUUUCUGUUUAGUUUAAGCCAUAAAUUUGAAUACAGAAAGCAUUAAAAAGAUAGUAGAGGAGUGAUAGCUUCUUUAUCCCUAGUUCCAAGCUCUGAGCAAGGUAGUGUUGGCUGUAGUUUUUAUUUGGAGGGAAGAGAAGCAACCUUUCUCAUAAACCUUUCAUUAGUUGAACACAGAGGUGACCAAGUUUCCACAUCAGAGUGCAUGACAACCCUAAGAUUGGCUCAUGAAAUGGUGGGGUGAGCCCUAAAGAGACAGGAUUUUAUGGCAUGGGUUGAGAGCAUGGGAUAUGAGGUGCUGCUAAGUGGCAUGCUGUUUAAUUAAGCACAUCUCUUUCUGCAUGGAGGUUUACUAGGUGACACGUUCAUAUCCUGCCUUUUCUUAUUCCCUUUGAAGCAAGCAGCCCAGUACUGCUUCAUGUGGUUGAGAUGUUGUUUUUCUACCUGAAGAGAAAGAUGGAAUAAACUUCUGAAUUCUCAUAGUUGAGCUGUGAGCUCGAACUUGUCAGUGAUAGAUAUUCUUUCUUGCAUGUAGAGGGCAUUCUGCGUUAUUUCUCUAAAAACUGGAUCUUGCUAAGUUUUACUGAUUUGUUCUGGACCAAAAAGCUGUAAACCAGCUCAGUUUGGACUUGUAUUAGUUGGGAUAGGCAGACACAAUCUUUGGGUAGCUGUUCAUAGCUGUUUCUCAUUGAGCGUGAUAGCUUCCUUUGCAUAUUCAUGCUCACUCCUCAGUUUACUCUUCAUAUUCAGUUCUUUGAUCAGUCAUAUGCUAAGUUUUUAAAAUAUGCAUCUUUUUAAAAUAACCAACAGCUUACAUACCUGCUUAAUAUGUCACUUUAUUCAGAAAGUAAUAAGAAGAUGAAAGGAGGAAAGUGACUUUUGUGUAAAAAUCUCACUCCAGGUGUGAGUGGAGGGAAAAAAAAUAGUCCUACUUUAUUAUGUCUUAUCUUUGAAAUUAUGUAAGUAUUUUUCAGUCAACAAAUUAAUUUUCAGCUGGAAAAUCACAGCUAUGAGUCGGUUGGGUUUUCACUCAUCAUAUCAUACUAUUACAGCAAAAACUGGAGUUCAUAAUGAUAUUGUGGAAACUGCUGAUCAAAGGUUGUUUACAUGGACUGUGUUCACUGAUUUGCCCUGUUUUCUCAUACAGAUGUGCUCUAAUGACUAUUCUCUGCAAAACUGAUUUUUCAAAAAGAUUCUUUAAUCUGAUUACUCUGUAAUUGUUAGUUAUUCUUGAGUGUGAGUUUACGUACAUAUUUGCUUGAAUGUGUGUUUCACAUGAUUGUGAUGCAAAUAUGCCACAUAAGAAAGGUAUUUCAAGAACAAAGUUACUUUAUCCAAAAGGAAAUAGCAGUUACUGCGGUAACUAAUUGGCAC